CGAUAGCGUAUAUUAAAGUUGUUGCGGUUAAAAAGCUCGUAGUUGGAUUUCUGCUGAGAACGACCGGUCCGCCCUUUGGGUGUGUAUCUGGCUCUUUCUUGGCAUCUUCUUGGUGAACGUUGCUGCACUUGACUGUGUGGAGCGCUACCCAGGACUUUUACUUUGAGGAAAUUAGAGUGUUUCGAGCAGGCAUACGCCUUGAAUACAUUAGCAUGGAAUAAUAAGAUAGGACCUCGGUUCUAUUUUGUUGGUUUCUAGAGCUGAGGUAAUGAUUAAUAGGGAUAGUUGGGGGCAUUCGUAUUUAACUGUCAGAGGUGAAAUUCCUGGAUUUGUUAAAGACGGACUACUGCGAAAGCAUUUGCCAAGGAUGUUUUCAUUGA
rnacentral:rRNA from 1 species